ACUUGACAAUAAGAGAAGCGUCGCAUUACACCAACCGCGUUUCCACGAGAAAGUAGCCGAAAAUGAUUCGGUUCUGACAGGCCGGCAAACAUUGGAUGUACUUUGAUUUGUGUUGUCAUUUGUUUUUUUAAUAGUUAGCAUUGUUUCCGGAGUGUAAAAGAAUCAACACGUAGUUGGAAAAGUCGGUAAAACACGCCAUCCUUUACAGGAUGGAUAAAUCCACAACGAUGAAAGUCAUGGUCCCUAUAAUCGUUGCUUUGAUUCAUGUGGGUCAUGGAGCAGCAGAGCUUGGGUUUGCAGGAGACCUCCAGAACCGCACAGCCAGACAGCUGAACUGCGUGGAGAACCAGGAAUACCCUCACAUCAACUUCUGCUGCAAGAACUGUGAAGCUGGUACUUAUGUGAAACAAAAGUGUAGCAGUGACCAGGAGAAGGGCAUUUGCGCUCCAUGUGAGAAGGGCACGUAUGCCGAACACCCCACAGGCAUGGAUCAGUGUCUGCAGUGCAGCCAGUGCCACAGAGAUCAGAUCGUGGUUGCAGAAUGCACCAGAGCAAGCAACACCAAGUGUGAAUGCAAACCCGGUACCUUCUGCCUGCCGGACGAGCCCUGUGAAGUGUGCAAGAAAUGCGCCAAGUGCAAAGCUGAUGAGGAAGAAGUGAGCCGCUGCACUGCGACAUCCAAUACGAAGUGCAGGAAGCGAAACUCUCCUCCGCCAGAAGGUCCAACGGACAAGCCUUCGGCAUCAAAUAACACUGUUGCUACAGCAGUUGGUAUAUCAGUUUUAGUACUGCUGUUUUUUUCAAUAAUUGCGGUUGGAAUGUUUUUCCUCCAUAAGAGACACCAACGUCGACUAAGCGACCCUGCUGGUGAUUGUAAAGAAGUGAAGGUUCCUAUUGAUGAGUGUUCAAGAUCAGAAGAGGACCAAGAGAACAGCCGCAAUGCUGGAUUAGAGAGGGAAGAGGGGCAACGCCCAGAGUCCCGCCCCUUGUUGACGCAAGAAACACAGGAAACAUGCACCAAGAGCAUACCAGUGGAGGAUGAGGACCGGGGAUUGGGCGACAGCUUGCCAAACACUACCAGCUCUUCCCAAACCAGUCUAUCUGCCCUCCCUCCUGCAGUCUACAACGAGGAAUCACCACGAUCGAGUCCCCCAGCCCCGAGACAGACGGAGACAGUUACAGAGCCAUGGGAACGGGAUGAUGGUCCUCCCAGAAGACUUGUUCCUUUAAUUGGUGAGGAGGAGUCUCUAAGCAAGAGUUUCGACCUGUUUGACACCCUGGAUGUGCGGUACCACAACAAGUUUUUCCGUAGCAUCGGCGUGAGCAACAACGCCAUCAAGGCCGAAAUGCAGCACCCUGUGGACAAAGUCUACGACCUACUGCAGGUUUGGAUGCAAAAAGAGGGCCUGCGGGCAAACAUCAACACGUUACUACAGGCUCUGCUAGACCUGGACCAGCGGUAUUCAGCAGAACACAUCGCCUCCAAGGCUGUUGAACGAGGCUUCUACAAAUAUGAGUGAUGUCUCUUCAAGAUUGCAAGAUAUUUGUUGAGUACAAGAACUAAGUAAUGGAGAGGUGUAAAUUCGUUUUGAUUUCUCCCCAGUGGGUCUGUGGGUCUCAUUGCAUGAACUUGAUGUCCUGUUACGGAGACAUUGGAGAAUCACCUCUCUGUAGCGCCCACGUUGAGUUUAGAAGCCAACACUGGACCUUUUUUGAGGAUUUACACUGGCUAGCAGCAGAGGGCGAUGUGUUCCCUCUCAACCGUGCAUUGUAGUGUUACUUGAUGCACUGACCUCAGGCUUUUAAACUACAGGUUGGUCCAAAGCCUACAUAUAGAUGUCAUUAAACCUUUGGUUACGCCAAAUGUUCAAACUAAAACAAGUGUAUUUAGUACUGACAGGCACAAACGGAAGAUGUUCACAAGCUUCACACUACAUGUAGUCAUAUUUCUGCAGUGAAUCACUUCUGUUCUUAGCUACAAACCUUGUGAAACUCGGUUACAAAUGAACAAAUAUGCUUCAAGAUGAGUUUAGAACUUGGUUCAGGUUGAGUUUUGGAUUUCAGACGUAUAUCAGCAGUUUAGGGUUUCAUUUGAAGUUCAGAACAUGAUUUUUUUUUCUUUGGAUAUUCCAGAAUAUCUCGUAGUCAGGCUGCCCCUGAAUUUUGCCAGUCUGUGAAAGGUGAUUUUUAUUUUUUUUUCCCACAAAUGACCCUUCUUCAUCUGUUUGGUGCGAGGAUGAGAUGUUUUUCAACCUUCUCGACCUCCGUUUUCCUUAUUUAUAUUUAAAUAAGUGAUGUAUUUAUUUGUUUUGUGUAAUUACGUAUUAUUUAUACCUGUUACCAAUAUUCACCUACAGUAAGUGUUCCUGAAGAAUUUAUCGCGCCUUUCAGGCGGCAUGACUGAGAUGUUCAACAGACAAAUCCUUCUGGUCCUUUCACAAGCAGAUUAGUGCCAUCUUCAUAUAGGUUUCUGUAGCUAAGGCAUUUCUUCAUUUACCCCGAGUGUGUCGUCUACUACAGACACAUCAUUUCUUGUUAUAUGAAUCACAAAACGUGUCCUUUGCUGUGGAUUUUAUGUUCCCAGCUAAUGGUGUUGUCGUUUAUGUUCUGAAAAGAUAAAGAAAAGCUUGAAAGAAUACCACGGUCAGUAUCUCUUGGACGCUUGUAUCUGCUUCCACAGGUUGAAUUAAAAUCGAGGAUAAGGAGGCAUUUCAAACUUAUGCUCGCUGUUCUUGUUUUAUAUGCGGUAGUGCACAGGUACCUGUUUUAGAUGGUUAAAAGAUGAAGGAAAUUUAUGUUCAUCCACAAACUACUUAGUUUAACUGCCUUUUGUCUAGUAUGUAAAUAGUUGUCAAGAAUUCUAUUAAACGAAACUAAUAGAUAUAUAUUUAUGGAAGCCCUGAGAGCACAACGUAAUGAAGUACUGCCUAAAAACCAAGCCGAAGGAACAAAUUGAAAUUAAAAUGAACAAGCGGAAUAGCUAUUAUCUCAAUAAACAGGGCUUCUUAAUUAAUUUACGUAGCAGUAAAUGAACUGUGACGUCUGACUCGGCUGUAUAGCUAUGUAGCUGUAUUGGUGUAUGAAAUAUAUUUUCAGAACAGAUCUCAGAUCAGCUUCACCUUCUAACAGACUUGUCUCGCCCUCCCUUCCCCAUGUAAUUAUGAAAUUGUAGAGCUGUCAUACAGUGCAGGCACUGCCACCUAUUGACAUAGAUUUGAAUAGCAAGAGAAAAACCUGCAUCAAUUUCAAGGGACCUUUUUCCACAUCUUCACAGCCUUUUCUACACAUCUGCCAUCUUUUUGCACUGAAUUUAACAGAAUGUCUCUUCAGAUGUAGGUGCGAGCUUUUACCUCUGAGCAGUUCAGUGCCAUCUGUUUCUCUGUGUUUUCAGAGGUUUUUAUAA